rnacentral:tRNA from 1 species
ACAGUGGUGGUUCAGUGGAAGAAUACUCAACUUCCAUGUAGGAAACCUGGGUUUGAUUCCCAGCCAAUGUA